CCACAUCCAUUUGAAACACCGGUUCUCUUACGAUCACCGAAGUUAAGCAAUAUUGAGAUUGGUCUCUACAUAGAUGAGUGACUGCUUGAGAAUACCAGGUGCUGUAA